rnacentral:rRNA from 1 species
GAGUUUGAUCGUGGCUCAGAUUGAACGCUGGCGGCGGGCCUAACACAUGCAAGUCGAGCGGUAGAGAGAAGCUUGCUUCUCUUGAGAGCGGCGGACGGGUGAGUAAUGCCUAGGAAUCUGCCUGGUAGUGGGGGAUAACGCUCGGAAACGGACGCUAAUACCGCAUACGUCCUACGGGAGAAAGCAGGGGACCUUCGGGCCUUGCGCUAUCAGAUGAGCCUAGGUCGGAUUAGCUAGUUGGUGAGGUAAUGGCUCACCAAGGCGACGAUCCGUAACUGGUCUGAGAGGAUGAUCAGUCACACUGGAACUGAGACACGGUCCAGACUCCUACGGGAGGCAGCAGUGGGGAAUAUUGGACAAUGGGCGAAAGCCUGAUCCAGCCAUGCCGCGUGUGUGAAGAAGGUCUUCGGAUUGUAAAGCACUUUAAGUUGGGAGGAAGGGCAGUAAAUUAAUACUUUGCUGUUUUGACGUUACCGACAGAAUAAGCACCGGCUAACUCUGUGCCAGCAG